GCAUUGGAUUGAGACAACGUACAAACCUUAUCGAUAAACAAUUGGAGGGCAAGUCUGGUCCAGCAGCCGCGGUAAUUCCAGCUCCAAUAGCGUAUAUUAACGUUGUUGCAGUUAAAAAGCUCGUAGUUGAAAUGAAGGGUGGUUGUGUAAUGAAUACAUUCGUGUAUUUUGUUAUUCUACUACCCUCCUUCUAAAUUCGAUAUAUGAGUAUUAAUUUACUUGUAUAUGGUUUUAGACCUUUACUGUGAGAAAAUUAGAGUGUUCAAAGCAGGCAUUUGCUUGAAUAUAUUAGCAUGGAAUAAUCAUGUAUGAUUUUCAUGAUGUAUUUGAUUGGUUUGGUUCAUGAGAAUAAGAUUAAAAGGGACAGUUGGGGGUAUUCAUAUUCAAUAGUCAGAGGUGAAAUUCUCGGAUUUAUGGAAGAUGAACAAGUGCGAAAGCAUUUACCAAGGAUGUUUUCAUUAAUCAAGAACGAAAGUUAGGGGAUCGAAGAGGAUUAGAUACCCUCGUAGUCUUAAA
rnacentral:rRNA from 1 species